AGAAUUUCCUUUACUCUUUCGAUUCAUGAAUGAUAACUUUUUUUAUGUGCGAUAUUUUGUGCCAAAUCCUGUCCGACCUCAUUCUGGUAUCUUUUGCAUAAUUCAAGACAGCCAAUAAUUUCUAGAUAUUCAAGAUUUGCGGCGUGAUGCACGUUAUCGAGGAGUGAGAGAAGCUUUGGACAAUCUUCAAUUGUAAGUAGUUUGAGACAAAUCUUUUUUGACAGCCAGUCAGGAAGCUCCUCAAGAUUCUUGCAACCACAAAUUAUCAAGGAAUAUAAUUUGUUCAUAGAUCCUUGCCACCACUGAGUUAGAGUGACCAACUGUGGCAAACCUUCAAGACUAAGCAACUGCUAGCAAUUGGAGGUCAUGAAACUCCAUUGGGCAAUUGAAAUUGUAGGCUUCGGAAGCCUUCUUUACAGCUUGUGCAGCAAAGGACUAGUGGUGGUGUGGGUUUGCCUUCUCCUGAUUCAGCUACAAGGUGUGUAAUUUCUGCAAGUGCUACUGGUAGUGUGAGUGCAGUACGAGUGAAACACCAAAUAAAGUAUUAUUGGGGUUGCAAAAUACCAAUGAAAAUCAAAUGUAGCAGCACCAUUGUGAAUCCAAACUAGCUAUUCUAUAUGUGUAGGAACAUGAGUUGUAAUAAGUUUGCAUGGGUGGAGAAACCCGUUAUGAUGAGUAUUUUACGUUGAAGGUGGAGAUAGACAACAUGAAGCAGGAAUUUGCGAUAAUGAAGACAAAGUUGACUUUUCUAGAGAAAAACAUUUACCAUGUUAAUUGUGAUUAUUGUUAUUUUAGGUGCAGUUAAUAUCAUUAAAUAACUAGGCUAGAUAGUUGUUUAUUUAAGUUGUGGUACUAGUUAUGCAUUACUAUAAUUGACUAUGUGUUUUAUCUUGAUGGCAGGUGAGAUACUAAUGUUAAAUUAUUAAAGUAGUGUAGGAGUGUGGUGUAUUUGUGAUUGAAGUAUGAUGUUAAUGU